GAGCGCGAGAACAAAAAUCAACACAUAAAAGUUCUUGUUGAUACAUUUAGGAGAACAGUGUUGCCACACAACUACGAAUCUGUUCAAGAAAAGGAUUGUUACAGGAAUAUUGAUUUUUAAACGGUGGUACAGUUGAAUUCUGGAGAGCUUUUUUUUUGAAAUUUAUAAUAUUUACAAAAAAAUGGGAAGAAGUAUGUUAAAGUCAGAAUAUCGGAUUUAUUAUUUAUUUCAAAAUCACGGAAUGAAAAAAUAUAAAAUAUUAAUGCUUCGAAAGAAGUCACGCGACACUUUCGAAGCAAUGAAAUCCUAACUAUAAUUAUACAAAAUGUCACUGGCCAUCUUGUUCAUCAUCAGUUAUUUGGUGGCCUUAAAUUUUUUUUGCACGGCCCAAUGACAAACAGAUUUAAGAACCAUGCAGAUAUUGGGAAUUUUGCUAAAUUUUAGAGUUGAAUGGUCAAUAUUUUUCGAAACAUGUAAAAAUGUCAAAAUAUCAAGAAUAUUUAAAACAAAUAGUGAUAUAUUUUCAUUAUUCUCAUAAAUUCUAUGUCCUUUAAUUCUUCCACGGAAUUUUCAUAGGGAAAAGCAAACUUAAAAAUCAGGCUGCGGUUCCAACAUAUAAAAAAAAAUCUAAUGAAAUUUGAAAAAUACCGAUGAAAUCCUCAACGAAAACCACCUUUAUACCAAUAGAACAUUUCAUCGGAACAAAAUAGUUUCAGAAAAAAGUUCCUAUCAUGGCACAAUAAAACCAAGGCAAACUCAUUCCAAAUAAGCAUUCCCAGCGCAGCAUUUUCUGUAAUUUACGAUGUAAAAUUUCACUGAAUAAAAAACUGUUUCCCAUCUCU